CGUGGAUCAGGCCUUUUUGUCUCAUCAGUUCACCUUCCCGCCCAAUCGCGUUCAAAUCUCUCUCUCUCUCUCUCUCUCUCUCACAUCAAUCAUCCCAAACUCACACACAAACUCUUGGUCAGUGGAUUUCAAUGGCUACCAGGUCAGGUGGAAAAGCUGUGGAUCUCUGGGCAGAACUCAUAGCUGCUGAAGAAGCAGAAAAUCAUCACCACCCGCAACCACCACAAAUUGCUGUUGUCUACUGCCGCAAAAAUGCCCUGAAUUCCCACCAAGAUGAAUCAAAGAGGCUAUCGAAUUCCAGUAAUCAGAGUAGGUUGAGUUUGGCCCCCGUAAAGCGAAUCAGUUGACAG